UUUCUUACAUCUAAGUAUGAAAGAUUCCAUCCCAACUUUGAAAUGUCCUUUGCCCUCAUAUAUGAAAAUGUGCACGCAUGUGCAUUCAUGAAGGGGAGAGAAAUGAUCGAUGCUCUAAUUAGAGCUGGCACAAAACCCAGACUAGGCAGCUGCUGUGAGCUUUGUCAUUACAAUUUUGACGUGACAUAUUAUUUGGGAAAU
ensembl:misc_RNA